UUCUCUUCACCCCCAUUCCUCCGGGCUCGCCGUCGCCGACGGGACCUCCUCCACCUCCCGCACAUCCUCACCAACAUCUCCCCAAGACUAAGGCGUAAGGAGGAAGCAAGCGCCCACCUCCCGCCGCCUCCACUGCCACCGCUGUAGCAGCAGUAGCGUACGCAGGAGAUUCAGAACUGUGUGUUGAACACGCGCGUGGCAGGGAUGGACGACGGCGACAGCGUCGCCCGGAGCGCAGACAAGGAUGCCCCCCCGGGAGACGACGGGAGCUCCACGCCCCUCCCCGAGACGGUGAGGAUCUCCUCUAUUAUGCAAGCACCGCGUGUUUGUUUCGAAUUGUCCGCUGUUUAGAUUUCAUUCGCGUGAUUGAACGUCUUUAUUGGUGCGGUAUGGUUCGGAGUUGAGCGAUUCGUGCUUGGAAAUGGCACAAUCUCGUGCGGCCGCAGGGUUCCAAGGAGCUGGGUAUGGAGAUAUCUUGUUUAGGACUAUAGGUUCCAUGCUAGAAGCGCGAGUAGACAUGAAUUCGGUAUUUUCUUAGGUCUGAGAUGACAGGAAUGGUCACUAUUGAAUGGUAGGACCUGCAGAGGUAUGAAAAUGUGACAUGAGCAUGCUGUCCGAGAAGUUCCAUUAGUGUUAUGGAUGGCCUUGCAGGUCUUUGUUCUUAACCUACUAUAUUCGUGUUUUUUCACGGCACAAAUGGAGCAAAUAUGCUUCUUUAACAUAGCAGGAAGUAGAUGCGCGAGUUUGAAUAUGCUACUGUGGUUGUUAUGGAACAGUAGGAGCUAAUUAACGCAACAAGCAGUGCCUAACUGAGAUUUCUAAAUUUGGAAAAGGAAAUGUGGGAAUGCAACAGCGUAGGUUGGUCGGUAUAUGCUUGUGCAAGUGUGUACUGUUUAUUUUUACAGAACAAAGUGUGUAUGGUUUCUAGGGUUUUGAACUGGGUUGCAAACUCUGCUUAUGUCUUGGUAAGACAAAACCUUCUUUAGUGCUGAUUCUGUGUUCCUUUUUGAACCUGUGCAUGCCAUUUAUGGUAAACAAUGUUAAAAUAACUACUCUUCAAAUGGAUAUUAACAUCUCCAUAGACCAUAGACUAGUAGUUUUGAUCACAUAUACUCCCUCUGUCCCAAAAUAAGUGUCAUUGAUCUAGUACAAAAUUUGUGCUAAUUUAGUACUAAAUCUGCGACACCUAUUUUGAGACGGAGGGAGUAAUUCUUAGACUGCUUGUUGGUGGCAUUCCAGAAUAAACAUCUGGAUGCCUACAUGCUGCAAAAGCUCAAAAUGUCCUUUGCUUCAUGUUUUAUGCAGUAUUACUACCUAUUUUGGUCAGGGUGUUAUAUAACUAAAUUCAUAGAUGCAUGUGAGCCUGGAUUUUUUCUUGUUGUUAGGAAAUAGGAAAUAUGCAUACACACACACACACACACACACGUGUGCAGGUGGUAAAUAUGUAGGAAACCCCUCAUACUAUGGGAAAAAUAUACAGCCUAUACAUGGAACAUAAUAUAACUCACCCUGUUGUCGUGGGAAAUUGAUCCGCACAGCACCACAAAUUCCUCACUUACGUGGAGGUAAACAGACCAUUUUUAUGCAAAACGGCAAAGAUGAGCCAAACCCUAGGGCUGCUAGGGCUGUGCAGAAGCUACGACCUAGGCGCUGGAAGGAGAAAGCUUAUAGGAGAAAAAAGUAACGUAGAGUUGCGAAAGGAUCAAUGAUUGUAGCUUUUCAGUCGACCAUGUACCCAUAUAUAUUAGGUAUGCUUGGCCUUUGGCAAUUUGGAAUAGGACCCCUGACUAGUCAGGUACCAUUUCCUUGGCAUACAAGCCAAAUUGGUAAUCUUUAAUUAAUUCGGCUAGACCUGUAAAAGCACCAGCCUGAGCCCAAUGCUAGUACACCUUCCUUAUUAGCUCUGUUCUCGCCGAAUAGCUGAUCAUGCAAAAUCUUUUCUAUCUCAAGCAUUCUAAACCAGAUCUCUUUCCUUUUUUCUCUUCAUGCGUGAGCUCCAGCACACAAUUCUGUUGCAUCCAGCCUGCUGCACCUAUCCUAUGUACUUGCAAUCAUGUGGCCAUUCUCAAACAAUGUAUCAACCAAUUAGCUUAUCCACCAAAACUAAAUAAUCCGGCUGACCAUUCAAGCCAGAUCCAAAUUAGACUGUCAACACAUGCCCCCCUGGUUUUGGUGUAAUUUUAUUUGCCAAAAACACCAUGGCAAUAUCUUGAGACGAUUUCAACCACUUCACCGGUCAUAUCAAUUGCUUAGGGCGAUGUCCACAUAACACACCUGCCAAAUUUAGCAUAAGGUGAUAUCUAAAAUCACAUCGGGCAUGUUUUGCUUAGGGCGACAUCUUAAAUAAUAUCGCCCAUAGUGCCAUCAAGCUUCUUGCCACAUUCUAGGAUAGUGCUUCUUCAGAUAUUUUCUAUUGAGAGCUUUAGGCAAUUUCUCCCCUUGCAAAAAUUGUAGAGAAUAUCAAUUUCCAGGAACAAUCUCUACAAUCUUAUACGGACCUUCCCAACUUGGCGACUAUUUGCCGAAUUUAUUAUUUCUAGUUCCUAUAGACAAAACCGUUCUCCGCACUAAUUCUCCUAUUUGAAACGAUUUCCCCCUUAACUUUUAUUAUAAGCCUUUGCCACUCGUAAUUUCUUUGUUUUCAAUUUCUUGCAAGGCUCUCAACCUUUCCUCUGAUACAUUAUCUAUCCUAUCCAUCAUUAAAUUGUUGUAAUCUAGAGCCGACAAAUCAUUUUGUCUGGCUACUCUAAGAGCUUGCAAAUUAAUCUCCACGGGUAGCACUGCUUCUUGCCCAUACACUAGCUCAUACGGUGUCACUUGAGUCACUCCGUUCGUAGAUAUCCAACGAGCCCAUAAAGCUUCUGAUAGCACUUCAUGCCACCUUCUCGGAUGCUCCUUAAUUUUCUUCUCUAUAAGCUUAAUUAAAGUUCUAUUGCUAGAUUCGGCUUGUCCAUAAGCUUGAGCAUAAUAAGGCGAUGAAUUUAGCAAUUUAAUUCUAAAAGAUUUGGCGCACGAAAUUGACGAGACAUAAAAGAAGAGGCAGGGAGACAGCAACAGCAAAAUCACUCAAACAUGAGACACGGGUAGCAGCAGCGGGUCCACCGGGAGUGAGCAGCAGGCCAGGGCACAUGAGAAUUGCAGCGGCGAGUGCUCGGAGGUGCAGAACUGAGCAGCAGAAUCACGGAGCUGGGCGGGCGGAGGCGGAGGUGCAGAGUAACGAGCCCGUGGCCUGGGGGAAACGGAGGCGGCAACACGGAUAUGGUGGGGCUGCCGAUCUAGGCCGAUUUGCAGGUAGUGGAGUUGUGGAGGCGAGGCGACAUCAGCUACUGCAGCUUGGAAUCGGGAUCCAGCAGGGCGUUGACCAGUGUAGAAUCCUCAGGCGAGGGCAGGUGGCGAUGUGAAGAGCAGGCAGCAGCAGCCGUUAGAAGGAAAUGAUGGCGGCGACCAAAAAAAAGGGAUGGCGGCGGCGC
rnacentral:lncRNA from 1 species